AUUUCGUAUUGUUAUCAAAUAAAUGAAAAUUAAAUUCAUAGUAGAAGAAAAACAAAAAAUACAAAUAAAAUGAAAAUAUUAGAAUUAGAAAUAGAAAGAAUGAUCAAAAGAGAAAACAAUUAAUAAAAUAAUGAUAAAAAAAUAAUGCUAUAAAUUAACAUUUUCUAAGAAAUAUAGUCAUAACAAUGAAAAUAUUUCCAUUCCAAAAUUUAAUUCUAAAAAUAAAAUAUAAAAUAUAAUUGAUUGAUGAUGAUAAUAAGUCAUAACCCAGAAAUCUCUGAUAGAAAUCUCUGAUCAUUCAAAUAUUAGACUGAUGGAUCGAUUAUAUAUGGUCAUGUUAUGUAUAUCUUGUUUACAUUUAUAUUUAUAUUAAUAUAGAAUCAACGAUCUUCCGGUUUCUUAAAUCUACAGCCAAAUGUGACUAUUCAUGCAUUGUUGGAGGAAAAGGACAAUUCAAAGAUGUAAAUCUUUUUUAUAUUUUUUUAAUCUAAUUAAAAAAUUAUAUUCAUACCCUUUUUUAUUAUUUCUUUUUUAACUUUUCAUUUUUACUUUAAUUUCUUUUAUUUUCUAAUUAAUUGUUCUUAAUUAAUUCUUAAUUAAUUAAUUCACAGUUUAUAGAUUCUUCAACCAUUCUGUAUUGUUUAGAUGGAUAUUGAUGGAUUUUUCAUGGAGAUGCAAUAAAUUUUUCUAUUAAGAAUUUAAUUUCAGCGUUCAUCUGUAAUAAUAUCUAUCAUUUAAUACAGAUAAGAUAAUAUUCACAAGCUAUUUACUAUCACGGAAUGAUUUUGCAUUUGCAUCGAUAUUCAAAAUAAUUUUAAUCUGCCGGAGAAACAUCAAUACCUUAUCAUUUAUCCAAUUGAAAUUCAAUAAUUUUUUAAGCCGAGAAAAUAUAUACUUUCGAAUAUUUAUCGUCAUUGAUCUGGAUAUAUAUGCAAUGCUGGAUAUAUAUAUAAGAUAUAUCCACCAGGAUUGACAGAUAAUUGUUUUUCAUACCAGUUGAGCUUUUCAGAAAUGAUAAUGAGAAAAAUGGAACGGCUUUUAUCAUUUUUCUUCUGAAGAACUUCUUCGGAUAUCGAAUAUCAUCAGAAUAACAUGUACAUUGUUUGUACCUGCUCAUCGUGGAUCAUAAUAUAUC